rnacentral:misc_RNA from 1 species
GUUUACUCAGUUCGCCAUGUUGUGUGUUGCUUUGUGGUGGUUCCUCGUGCAUUUGUUGCUCCCGUCUGAUGGGACAGUACCGACCUAAAGCUCUUUGUUGUUCAACACCGUAACUGCCUCGCAUAUCCAUGUAUAUUUAUUACUGGGCGGGGUGUUUGCGUCCUACACAGAAACAUGACUGCCAGGAUAAUGAAUGAACAGUCAGAGAGAGGUCCAG